rnacentral:misc_RNA from 1 species
GAUGAAGAACGUAGCGAAAUGCGAUAAGUGAUGUGAAUUGCAGAAUUCAGUGAAUCAUCGAAUCUUUGAACGCACAUUGCGCCCGCCAGUAUUCUGGCGGGCAUGCCUGUUCGAGCGUCAUUUCAACCAUCAAGCCCCCCGGCUUGUGUUGGGGACCUGCGGCUGCCGCAGGCCCUGAAAAGCAGUGGCGGGCUCGCUGUCACACCGAGCGUAGUAGAUCUCAUCUCGCUCAGGGCGUGCUGCGGGUUCCGGCCGUUAAACCACCUUCAUAACCCAAGGUUGACCUCGGAUCAGGUAGGAAGACCCGCUGAACUUAAGCAUAUCAAUAAGCGGAGGA